UACGUAGGGAGCGAGCGUUGUCCGGAAUUAUUGGGCGUAAAGAGCUCGUAGGCGGUUUGUUGCGUCGGCUGUGAAAUCCCGAGGCUCAACCUCGGGUCUGCAGUCGAUACGAGCAAACUAGAGUGUUGCAGGGGAGACUGGAAUUCCUGGUGUAGCGGUGAAAUGCGCAGAUAUCAGGAGGAACACCGGUGGCGAAGGCGGGUCUCUGGGCAACAACUGACGCUGAGGAGCGAAAGCGUGGGGAGCGAACAGG
rnacentral:rRNA from 1 species